rnacentral:lncRNA from 1 species
CAUACAUGAGCCCUUUCUUGAUAGGUGUGGGUUGUUGGCGAUUAAGUGCGCCGAGGCGUUGGAGAGAACCCAUGCAGAGUUGGGGUUCCUCCGAGGACAUUGUGGGGUUGCUAUUUAGUUGGGCAGCAAGAGCGUUGAGCGACUUCUUUUCCGGACAAUCGCGUAGCCAAUGAGGGCCAUUGCAUAUAAAACAUGGGCUUCGCGGUUUCGGUGCCUCCUUCUUGCCCUCCGAUCUACCUUGCCUACUCCUGCUG